UAUACUAGUAUAGCAUUUCUACAGCGAACUGCGAAUGGCUCAUUAAAUCAGUUAUCGUUUAUUUGAUAGUACCUUACUACAUGGAUAACCGUGGUAAUUCUAGAGCUAAUACAUGCUAAAAAUCCCGACUUCGGAAGGGAUGUAUUUAUUAGAUUAAAAACCAAUGCCCUCCGGGGCUCUCUGGUGAUUCAUAAUAACUUCUCGAAUCGCACGGCCUUGCGCCGGCGAUGGUUCAUUCAAAUUUCUGCCCUAUCAACUUUCGACGGCUGGGUCUUGGCCAGCCGUGGUGACAACGGGUAACGGAGGGUUAGGGCUCGACCCCGGAGAAGGAGCCUGAGAAACGGCUACUACAUCCAAGGAAGGCAGCAGGCGCGCAAAUUACCCAAUCCCGACACGGGGAGGUAGUGACAAUAAAUACUGAUACAGGGCUCUUUCGGGUCUUGUAAUUGGAAUGAGUACAAUUUAAAUCCCUUAACGAGGAACAAUUGGAGGGCAAGUCUGGUGCCAGCAGCCGCGGUAAUUCCAGCUCCAAUAGCGUAUAUUAAAGUUGUUGAGGUUAAAAGCUCGUAGUUGAACCUUGGGCCUAGCCGGCCGGUCCGCCUCACCGCGUGCACUGGCUCGGCUGGGUCUUUCCUUCUGGAGAACCGCAUGCCCUUCACUGGGUGUGCCGGGGAACCAGGACUUUUACUCUGAAUAAAUUAGAUCGCUUAAAGAAGGCCUAUGCUCGAAUACAUUAGCAUGGAAUAAUAGAAUAGGACGUGUGGUUCUAUUUUGUUGGUUUCUAGGACCGCCGUAAUGAUUAAUAGGGACAGUCGGGGGCAUCAGUAUUCAAUUGUCAGAGGUGAAAUUCUUGGAUUUAUUGAAGACUAACUACUGCGAAAGCAUUUGCCAAGGAUGUUUUCAUUAAUCAGGAACGAAAGUUAGGGGAUCGAAGACGAUCAGAUACCGUCGUAGUCUUAACCAUAAACUAUGCCGAUUAGGGAUC
rnacentral:rRNA from 1 species